CAGUCUCACAGCAUCAAGCUCUGAUUAGACUCCUGGAAUUUUCUUACCAAGGCCUCAGCCUCAGCCUGCCUGGCUCAGUGUCAGCACAACACCCCAUUGUGCCUGGGAUAGAGUUCUAUGAUGAUCAACGUGAUUGGACAUUAGUAAGCUGUACCCGAUGGGCCUCUGAGGAGAUUUCCAGAGACCACUGACAUGUGGAUAUGAUAACCAGACUCAGGGAUCACUGCUCUCAGCAGCUGUCAUCAAUG